AUACUUUACCUGGCAGGGGGGAGAUACCAUGAUCACGAAGGUGGUUUUCCCAGGGCGAGGGUUUAUCCAUUGCACUCCCGGGAUGUGCUGACCCCCUGCGAUUUCCCCAAAAUGUGGGAAACUCGACUGCAUAAUUUGUGGUAGUGGGGGACUGCGUUCGCGCUCUCCCCUG
rnacentral:snRNA from 1 species